rnacentral:rRNA from 1 species
GAGGCGAACCGGGGGAACUGAAACAUCUAAGUACCCCGAGGAAAAGAAAUCAACCGAGAUUCCGAAAGUAGCGGCGAGCGAAAUUGGACUAGCCCUUAAGCUUUACACGCGUUAGACGAACGGUCUGGAAAGUCCGACGAUACAGGGUGAUAGUCCCGUAGUUGACGACGUGUGUUCAGUGAAAUCGAGUAGGGCGGGACACGUGAUAUCCUGUCUGAAUAUGGGGGGACCAUCCUCCAAGGCUAAAUACUACUGACUGACCGAUAGUGAACUUUGUCCUGUGACUGCGUACCUUUUGUAUAAUGGGUCAGCGACUUAUAUUCAGUGGCAAGGUUAACCAUCUAGGGGAGCCGUAGGGAAACCGAGUCUUAACUGGGCGUUCAGUCUCUGGAUAUAGACCCGAAACCAGGUGAUCUAGCCAUGGGCAGGUUGAAGGUUGAGUAACAUCAACUGGAGGACCGAACCGACUAAUGUUGAAAAAUUAGCGGAUGACUUGUGGCUAGGGGUGAAAGGCCAAUCAAACCUGGAGAUAGCUGGUUCUCCCCGAAAGCUAUUUAGGUAGCGCCUCGGACGAAUACUACUGGGGGUAGAGCACUGUUAAGGCUAGGGGGUCAUCCCGACUUACCAACCCUU